rnacentral:rRNA from 1 species
UACGGAGGGUGCAAGCGUUAAUCAGAAUUACUGGGCGUAAAGAGUUCGUAGGUGGCUAGAUAAGUCAGAUGUGAAAGCCCUGGGCUCAACCUAGGAACCGCAUUUGAUACUGUUUAACUAGAGUUUACUAGAGGAUUAGGGAAUUUCCGGUGUAGCGGUGAAAUGCGUAGAUAUCGGAAAGAACAUCAAUAGCGAAGGCAAUAAUCUGGGGUUAAACUGACACUGAGGAACGAAAGCGUGGGUAGCAAACAGG